AUUGAACGCUGGCGGCAUGCCUUACACAUGCAAGUCGAACGGUAACGCGGGGCAACCUGGCGACGAGUGGCGAACGGGUGAGUAAUGUAUCGGAACGUGCCCAGUUGUGGGGGAUAACUGCUCGAAAGAGCAGCUAAUACCGCAUACGACCUGCGGGUGAAAGUGGGGGAUCGCAAGACCUCGCGCAAUUGGAGCGGCCGAUAUCAGAUUAGGUAGUUGGUGGGGUAAAGGCUCCCCAAGCCAACGAUCUGUAGCUGGUCUGCGAGGACGACCAGCCACACUGGGACUGAGACACGGCCCAGACUCCUACGGGAGGCAGCAGUGGGGAAUUUUGGACAAUGGACGCAAGUCUGAUCCAGCCAUGCCGCGUGCGGGAAGAAGGCCUUCGGGUUGUAAACCGCUUUUGUCAGGGAAGAAACGCUCUGGGUUAAUACCUCGGGGUAAUGACGGUACCUGAAGAAUAAGCACCGGCUAACUACGUGCCAGCCGCCGCCGUAAGAC
rnacentral:rRNA from 1 species